rnacentral:rRNA from 1 species
CAUAUAUGCUUGUUUCAAAGAUUAAGCCAUGCAUGUCUAAGUAUAAGCAACUAUACAGUGAAACUGCGAAUGGCUCAUUAUAUCAGUUAUAAUUUAUUUGAUCUAGUUCUACUACACGGAUACCUGUGGUAAUUCUAGAGCUAAUACGCGACGCAAAUCCCGCAAGGGAUGUACUUAUUAGAUAAAAAACCAAUGCCUUCGGGCUUUUUUGGUGAUUCAUAAUAAUUUUUCGAAGCGCAUUGCAUUNNNGGCGCUGGUUCAUUCAAAUUUCUGCCCUAUCAACUUUCGAUGGUACGGUAGUGGCGUACCAUGGUUUCAACGGGUAACGGGGAAUUAGGGUUCGAUUCCGGAGAAGGGGCAUGAGAAACGGCCCCUACAUCCAUGGAAGGCAGCAGGCGCGCAAAUUACCCAAUCCUGACGCAGGGAGGUAGUGACCAUAAAUAACAAUACGCGGUCUAUNNNNNNNNNNNNNUUGGAAUGAGGACAAUUUAAUUUUACUUAUCGAGUAACGAUUGGAGGGCAAGUCUGGUGCCAGCAGCCGCGGUAAUUCCAGCUCCAAUAGCGUAUGUGUAAGUUGCUGCAGUUAAAAAGCUCGUAGUUGAACUUUACUAGGCCGGUCCACUUUUUUGUGCGUACUUGGUUUUAGUGGCUUUAUUGCCUGGACGCUUUGCUGCGUUUAAUCGCGUGGUAACCAAGGUCAGGCCUUUUACUGUGAGAAAAUUAGGGUGUUCAAAGCAGGCUUUCGCUCGAAUAUAUUAGCAUGGAAUACUAGAAUAUGACGUUUGUUUGUAUUUUGUUGGUUUCUACAAAUAUCGUAAUGAUAAAUAGGGACAGCUCGGGGGUGGACGUUAUUCAAAUGUGAGAGGUGAAAUUCUUGGAUUUAUUGNNNNNNNNNNNNNNNNNNNNNNNNNNNNNNNNNNNNNNNNNNNUAAUCAAGAACGAAAGUUAGGGGAUCGAAGACGAUUAGAUACCGUCGUAGUCCCAACCGUAAACUAUGCCGACUAGGGAUUGGAUUGGCGUUAUUUUAGCCAAUUCAGCACCUCGUGAGAAAUCAAAGUUUUUAGGUUCUGGGGGGAGUAUGGUCGCAAGGCUGAAACUUAAAGGAAUUGACGGAAGGGCACCACCAGGAGUGGAGCCUGCGGCUUAAUUUGACUCAACACGGGGAAACUCACCAGGUCCAGACACAGUAAGGAUUGACAGGAUUUGAGAGCACUUUCUUGAUUUUGUGGGUGGUGGUGCAUGGCCGUUCUUAGUUGGUGGAGUGAUUUGUCUGCUUAAUUGCGAUAACGAACGAGACCUUGACUUUUAAAUAGUUUGGUCCACAUUUUGUGGAACACACUUCUUAAAAGGACUAUCAGAGAAAAUCUGAUGGAAGUUCGAGGCAAUAACAGGUCUGUGAUGCCCUUAGACGUUCUGGGCCGCACGCGCGCUACACUGAUACAGCCAGCGAGUAUAUAUCCUUGCCCGAGAGGUUGGGUAAUCUUGUUAAACUGUAUCGUGCUGGGGAUAGUCUGUUGCAAUUUUCAGACUUGAACGAGGAAUUCCUAGUAGGCGCAAGUCAUCAGCUUGCGUCGAUUACGUCCCUGCCCUUUGUACACACCGCCCGUCGUUACUACCGAUUGAAUGGUUUAGUGAGGCCUUCGGAUGUGGACGUUUAUGUGGGCGACCACAUUAUGUCUGCAAAACUUGGACGAACUUGAUCAUUUAGAGGAAGUACAAGUCGUAACAAG